UACAGAGGGUGCAAGCGUUAAUCGGAAUUACUGGGCGUAAAGCGUGCGUAGACGGUUACAUAAGUCGGGUGUGAAAGCCCCGGGCUCAACCUGGGAAUUGCAUUCGAGACUGCGUAGCUAGGGUGCGGAAGAGGGAAGCGGAAUUUCCGGUGUGAGCGGUGAAAUGCGUAGAUAUCGGAAGGAACACCAGUGGCGAAAGCGGCUUCCUGGUCCAGCACCGACGUCAGGCACGAAAAGCGUGGGGGAGCAAACAGG
rnacentral:rRNA from 1 species